GCACUAACUUCAGGGAAAGAUGAAUGGAGCUUUCAGACUGCUUCAUUUUCAUCAUUAUCCGGAAAGAAAUCUUAAGAAAAUUUAAGAGCUUGGCAGAAUGCUGGAGGAAAAUGAAACAUACCAAACAUUUAUGAACAGUGCCUUACUGUUUAUCACUUAUCCUGGAAGCUGAAUUUGGGCAACAUAGAUACACAGACAAACAAGGCUAUAAAGCUGCAUCUGGAUUAAUGUGUCAAGUUUUGGGUCCCUCAGUGCAGGAAAAACAUGAACAUACUAGAAAGAGUCCAGUGUAGAGCCAACCAGAUGAUCAGGAGAGUGGAGCACUUCUCCUGUGUGGAGAAGCUGAGAGACCUGGGACUGUUCAGCCUUGAGAAGAAAAGGUUCAGGGAAAUUUCAGUGAUGUCCAUACGUAUUUGAAUAAAAGGCAUAAAGAAGAUAGAGCUAGGCUCUUUUCACAGAUACCCCAUGACAGGACAGGAGACAAUGGGCACAAAAUGGAACACAAGAGAUUCCUUAUGAACAUCAGGAAGCACUUUUUUACCGUAUGGAAUACUGAUCACUGGCAUAGAUUGCCCAGAGAACCUGUGGAGUCUCUCUCUUCACAGAUCUUCAAAAAUGACUCUGGUAUGGACCUGGGCAACCUUCUCUGGGUGAUCCUGUUUGUGCAGAGUUUAGCCAGAUGAGCUCCAUAAACACCUUCCAACAUCGAGAAUUCUGAGAUUCCCUGUGAAUGCCAUCAGAGCAAUAGUGAGGAGAUUCACCCUUCUGCUUCAGAGUAGCUCUUGUUAAAGUCUGGUAUACCUUUACCAAUGAUGAGUUUAGAAAAUUGUUAACUAUAUCUAAAACAGUCAGCACCUCAACAACAUUCAGUUAAAAUGAGGGUAAAAAAUCCCAACCAACUGAACAGAAAAUAUGCAAUUCAAAAGAACAGAGAACUCAGAUCACAAAAUAUAGUCCAUGUAAUCGCUUCAGAGAUAUGGCUGCAGUUAAAAUUUCUUAAAAAGAAGGUCUUGAGAGUGUGUUAAUCUUAUCAGUGAGGUACGAAGAACUUGGCUAAAAGAAUAACAACUCUGCUUAGUUAUAUGUAGCCUUAUAACUCAUUUCAUAAUUACUUAGAUUCAAAAUAACAGUGAUCACAACCUAGCAACUUCUGCAGGUCUGACCUGAUUUUGCAAACUGCUGGAUAGCAACUGCUGUCUGAAUACAGUGUUUAUCGUUCAUAAACAUAUAGCAAUAACCCUGUUCAGAAACAGCUUAUUCUUACUCUCAUGUAGAGAGCUAUACCUUAAAAGCUGUGGUGAUGGACACGAUCAGAACUUGGAGAAAAGAUUUUUGCUGACCUUGUAUAAUAUGGAAAAGAUGGUUCUGUAGUGUAUGAUCUGUAGGGUCUGUAAUUUAUUCCUGUAUACUUACUGUAGUUGAGUGACUGCAGAAAUACAUGCUGUUGAUAAUUUAUAGAACCAAGGUAUUCUUUAAAUCUUAUAAAUAUUGAAAUAUGAGAAAGUGAAAUUACAAAGAUGUCUCAGAGGUAAACCACCAUAUUAAUGCUGUUGAAGGGAAAAAAAAAAAAAAGUUAAGGACUAGUUUGGGGAGUGUAUUCCAGCUCAUUUAAGAAUUGGGAGUACAGAUUUAACCUCUACUUCUAAUGCCUGGGUAAGCAGGAUGUGUCCAUUAUUAAAAGAGAAAUGUUAAAAAAAUGAUGUACAGAAGAUGUUGACAACUCUCAGUGUUCUGAUUGUAGAUUGUAACAAGAAUUAUCACAGGAAAGUUAUGAUUAUUAUUAUGUGUUAAUUUUAAAAAAGCUUAAUGAACGAUGUGCUUUGGUAAUAUAAUCUGAGUGGGCAAGAGAAU
ensembl:lncRNA